UACGGAGGGUGCAAGCGUUAUCCGGAUUCACUGGGUUUAAAGGGUGUGUAGGCGGGGAUUUAAGUCAGUGGUGAAAUCUCCAGGCUCAACCUGGAAACUGCCAUUGAUACUAUAUAUCUUGAAUUUUGUUGAGGUAGGCGGAAUAUGUCAUGUAGCGGUGAAAUGCAUAGAUAUGACAUAGAACACCAAUUGCGAAGGCAGCUUACUAAGCAAAUAUUGACGCUGAGGCACGAAAGCGUGGGGAUCAAACAGG
rnacentral:rRNA from 1 species